rnacentral:piRNA from 1 species
UAGACCUGUUUGUUCCAUCCAUGUUCCGU